GACGAACGCUGGCGGCGUGCUUAACACAUGCAAGUCGAGCGGUAAGGCCCUUUCGGGGGUACGACGAGCGGCGAACGGGUGAGUAACACGUGGGUGGACCUGCCCUCAGCUCUGGGAUAAGCCUGGGAAACCGGGUCUAAUACUGGAUAUGACUCCAUGACGCAUGUUGUGGGGUGGAAAGCCUUGUGCGGCUGAGGAUGGGCCCGCGGCCUAUCAGCUUGUU
rnacentral:rRNA from 1 species